AUACGGAGGAUCCGAGCGUUAUCCGGAUUUAUUGGGUUUAAAGGGUGCGCAGGCGGCCAUUUAAGUCAGCGGUUAAAUCGUGGGGCUCAACCCCAUUCUGCCGUUGAUACUGGGAGGCUUGAUUGCGGGCGAGGUUGGCGGAAUUCGUUGUGUAGCGGUGCAAUGCAUAGAUAUGACGAAGAACACCGAUUGCGUAGGCAGCUGACCAGACCGCAAAUGACGCUCAUGCACGAAAGUGCGGGGAUCGAACAGGAUUAGAUACCCUGGUAGUCCGCACAGUAAACGAUGAAUACUUGUUUUCGGCGAUAUAAUGUCGGAGGCAAAGCGAAAGCGAUAAGUAUUCCACCUGGGGAGUACGCCGGCAACGGUGAAACUCAAAGGAAUUGACGGGG
rnacentral:rRNA from 1 species